CCCUUAGAUGUUCUGGGCUGCACGCGCGCUACACUGAAGCGUUCAACGAGUAUUUCACCUUGCCCGGGAGGGUUGGGUAAUCUUUUUAAAACGCUUCGUGAUGGGGAUAGAUUAUUGCAAUUAUUAAUCUUCAACGAGGAAUUCCUAGUAAGCGCGAGUCAUCAGCUCGUGCUGAUUACGUCCCUGCCCUUUGUACACACCGCCCGUCGUUCCUACCGAUUGAGUGAUCCGGUGAAUAAUUCGGACUGCAGCAGUGCUUGGUCCUCCGGGCUUUGCAGCGGAAAGUUUAGUGAACCUUAUCACUUAGAGGAAGGAGAAGUCGUAACA
rnacentral:rRNA from 1 species